rnacentral:rRNA from 1 species
GACGAACGCUGGCGGCGUGCCUAAUACAUGCAAGUUGAGCGAUGAAGAUUGGUGCUUGCACCAAUUUGAAGAGCAGCGAACGGGUGAGUAACGCGUGGGGAAUCUGCCUUUGAGCGGGGGACAACAUUUGGAAACGAAUGCUAAUACCGCAUAACAACUUUAAACAUAAGUUUUAAGUUUGAAAGAUGCAAUUGCAUCACUCAAAGAUGAUCCCGCGUUGUAUUAGCUAGUUGGUGAGGUAAAGGCUCACCAAGGCGAUGAUACAUAGCCGACCUGAGAGGGUGAUCGGCCACAUUGGGACUGAGACACGGCCCAAACUCCUACGGGAGGCAGCAGUAGGGAAUCUUCGGCAAUGGACGAAAGUCUGACCGAGCAACGCCGCGUGAGUGAAGAAGGCUUUCGGAUCGUAAAACUCUGUUGGUAGAGAAGAACGUUGGUGAGAGUGGAAAGCUCAUCAAGUGACGGUAACUACCCAGAAAGGGACGGCUAACUACGUG